UAUGGCCACAUCAUAUUGAAACACCAGUUCCUGUAUGAUCACCAAAAUCAAGCAAAAGCGAGCCUGGUUAAUACCUAGAUGGGUAACCACUUGGAAAUACCAGGUGUUGUA
rnacentral:rRNA from 1 species